rnacentral:rRNA from 1 species
CAGCAGCCGCGGGAAUACGUAGGGUGCGAGCGUUAAUCGGAAUUACUGGGCGUAAAGCGUGCGCAGGCGGUUGUACAAGACAGAUGUGAAAUCCCCGGGCUUAACCUGGGAAUGGCAUUUGUGACUGUACGGCUAGAGUGUGUCAGAGGGGGGUAGAAUUCCACGUGUAGCAGUGAAAUGCGUAGAUAUGUGGAGGAAUACCGAUGGCGAAGGCAGCCCCCUGGGAUAACACUGACGCUCAUGCACGAAAGCGUGGGGAGCAAACAGGAUUAGAUACCCCGGUAGUCCCUGUCUCUUAUAC